rnacentral:rRNA from 1 species
UUAAGCGACUAAGCGUACACGGUGGAUGCCCUGGCAGUCAGAGGCGAUGAAGGACGUGCUAAUCUGCGAUAAGCGUCGGUAAGGUGAUAUGAACCGUUAUAACCGGCGAUUUCCGAAUGGGGAAACCCAGUGUGUUUCGACACACUAUCAUUAACUGAAUCCAUAGGUUAAUGAGGCGAACCGGGGGAACUGAAACAUCUAAGUACCCCGAGGAAAAGAAAUCAACCGAGAUUCCCCCAGUAGCGGCGAGCGAACGGGGAGCAGCCCAGAGCCUGAAUCAGUGUGUGUGUUAGUGGAAGCGUCUGGAAAGGCGCGCGAUACAGGGUGACAGCCCCGUACACAAAAAUGCACAUGCUGUGAGCUCGAUGAGUAGGGCGGGACACGUGGUAUCCUGUCUGAAUAUGGGGGGACCAUCCUCCAAGGCUAAAUACUCCUGACUGACCGAUAGUGAACCAGUACCGUGAGGGAAAGGCGAAAAGAACCCCGGCGAGGGGAGUGAAAAAGAACCUGAAACCGUGUACGUACAAGCAGUGGGAGCCUCUUUUAUGGGGUGACUGCGUACCUUUUGUAUAAUGGGUCAGCGACUUAUAUUCUGUAGCAAGGUUAACCGAAUAGGGGAGCCGAAGGGAAACCGAGUCUUAACUGGGCGUUAAGUUGCAGGGUAUAGACCCGAAACCCGGUGAUCUAGCCAUGGGCAGGUUGAAGGUUGGGUAACACUAACUGGAGGACCGAACCGACUAAUGUUGAAAAAUUAGCGGAUGACUUGUGGCUGGGGGUGAAAGGCCAAUCAAACCGGGAGAUAGCUGGUUCUCCCCGAAAGCUAUUUAGGUAGCGCCUCGUGAAUUCAUCUCCGGGGGUAGAGCACUGUUUCGGCAAGGGGGUCAUCCCGACUUACCAACCCGAUGCAAACUGCGAAUACCGGAGAAUGUUAUCACGGGAGACACACGGCGGGUGCUAACGUCCGUCGUGAAGAGGGAAACAACCCAGACCGCCAGCUAAGGUCCCAAAGUCAUGGUUAAGUGGGAAACGAUGUGGGAAGGCCCAGACAGCCAGGAUGUUGGCUUAGAAGCAGCCAUCAUUUAAAGAAAGCGUAAUAGCUCACUGGUCGAGUCGGCCUGCGCGGAAGAUGUAACGGGGCUAAACCAUGCACCGAAGCUGCGGCAGCGACGCUUAUGCGUUGUUGGGUAGGGGAGCGUUCUGUAAGCCUGUGAAGGUGUGCUGUGAGGCAUGCUGGAGGUAUCAGAAGUGCGAAUGCUGACAUAAGUAACGAUAAAGCGGGUGAAAAGCCCGCUCGCCGGAAGACCAAGGGUUCCUGUCCAACGUUAAUCGGGGCAGGGUGAGUCGACCCCUAAGGCGAGGCCGAAAGGCGUAGUCGAUGGGAAACAGGUUAAUAUUCCUGUACUUGGUGUUACUGCGAAGGGGGGACGGAGAAGGCUAUGUUGGCCGGGCGACGGUUGUCCCGGUUUAAGCGUGUAGGCUGGUUUUCCAGGCAAAUCCGGAAAAUCAAGGCUGAGGCGUGAUGACGAGGCACUACGGUGCUGAAGCAACAAAUGCCCUGCUUCCAGGAAAAGCCUCUAAGCAUCAGGUAACAUCAAAUCGUACCCCAAACCGACACAGGUGGUCAGGUAGAGAAUACCAAGGCGCUUGAGAGAACUCGGGUGAAGGAACUAGGCAAAAUGGUGCCGUAACUUCGGGAGAAGGCACGCUGAUAUGUAGGUGAAGUCCCUUGCGGAUGGAGCUGAAAUCAGUCGAAGAUACCAGCUGGCUGCAACUGUUUAUUAAAAACACAGCACUGUGCAAACACGAAAGUGGACGUAUACGGUGUGACGCCUGCCCGGUGCCGGAAGGUUAAUUGAUGGGGUCAGCGCAAGCGAAGCUCUUGAUCGAAGCCCCGGUAAACGGCGGCCGUAACUAUAACGGUCCUAAGGUAGCGAAAUUCCUUGUCGGGUAAGUUCCGACCUGCACGAAUGGCGUAAUGAUGGCCAGGCUGUCUCCACCCGAGACUCAGUGAAAUUGAACUCGCUGUGAAGAUGCAGUGUACCCGCGGCAAGACGGAAAGACCCCGUGAACCUUUACUAUAGCUUGACACUGAACAUUGAGCCUUGAUGUGUAGGAUAGGUGGGAGGCUUAGAAGUGUGGACGCCAGUCUGCAUGGAGCCGACCUUGAAAUACCACCCUUUAAUGUUUGAUGUUCUAACGUGGACCCGUAAUCCGGGUUGCGGACAGUGUCUGGUGGGUAGUUUGACUGGGGCGGUCUCCUCCUAAAGAGUAACGGAGGAGCACGAAGGUUGGCUAAUCCUGGUCGGACAUCAGGAGGUUAGUGCAAUGGCAUAAGCCAGCUUGACUGCGAGCGUGACGGCGCGAGCAGGUGCGAAAGCAGGUCAUAGUGAUCCGGUGGUUCUGAAUGGAAGGGCCAUCGCUCAACGGAUAAAAGGUACUCCGGGGAUAACAGGCUGAUACCGCCCAAGAGUUCAUAUCGACGGCGGUGUUUGGCACCUCGAUGUCGGCUCAUCACAUCCUGGGGCUGAAGUAGGUCCCAAGGGUAUGGCUGUUCGCCAUUUAAAGUGGUACGCGAGCUGGGUUUAGAACGUCGUGAGACAGUUCGGUCCCUAUCUGCCGUGGGCGCUGGAGAACUGAGGGGGGCUGCUCCUAGUACGAGAGGACCGGAGUGGACGCAUCACUGGUGUUCGGGUUGUCAUGCCAAUGGCACUGCCCGGUAGCUAAAUGCGGAAGAGAUAAGUGCUGAAAGCAUCUAAGCACGAAACUUGCCCCGAGAUGAGUUCUCCCUGACCCUUUAAGGGUCCUGAAGGAACGUUGAAGACGACGACGUUGAUAGGCCGGGUGUGUAAGCGCAGCGAUGCGUUGAGCUAACCGGUACUAAUGAACCGUGAGGCUUAACCUU